AAAUUGAAGAGUUUGAUCAUGGCUCAGAUUGAACGCUGGCGGCAGGCCUAACACAUGCAAGUCGAACGGUAGCAGGAAGCAGCUUGCUGCUUUGCUGACGAGUGGCGGACGGGUGAGUAAUGUCUGGGAAACUGCCUGAUGGAGGGGGAUAACUACUGGAAACGGUGGCUAAUACCGCAUAACGUCGCAAGACCAAAGAGGGGGACCUUCGGGCCUCUUGCCAUCAGAUGUGCCCAGAUGGGAUUAGCU
rnacentral:rRNA from 3 species